rnacentral:rRNA from 1 species
UACGUAGGGUGCGAGCGUUGUCCGGAAUUAUUGGGCGUAAAGAGCUUGUAGGUGGUUUGUCGCGUCUGCUGUGAAAAUCCGAGGCUCAACCUCGGACUUGCAGUGGGUACGGGCAGACUAGAGUGCGGUAGGGGAGAUUGGAAUUCCUGGUGUAGCGGUGGAAUGCGCAGAUAUCAGGAGGAACACCGAUGGCGAAGGCAGAUCUCUGGGCCGUAACUGACGCUGAGGAGCGAAAGCAUGGGGAGCGAACAGG